UCGAAAAUCCUUGGGACAGGACGUGUCGCCGGUUCGUACGUCGCAAUUUCUAUUCUUAUUAAAUUAUUUUAUUAAUAUUGUUAUUAGUUUCGUUUAUCUAAGUGUUCAUUGUACAUUGUGAUAAGAAAAUCAAAUAGUUUUGUGAGUGAUUAUGUGAUAUGUUGUGUCGUUAUUCGUCUUUCCGAAAUCCUCGAUAGGACGCAUCACCUUGAGAUUAAUUAUUCGAAUAUCACAAGGUGGAAAGGAAAAAGGAAUUUCAAUAUGGAUGCCGUAACGACUUUCGACGAUUAUUAAUCGGAAAAGUGGUAACAUUUGAUUUUUCAUUUUUUUUUGAAUUAUAAAAUACUGAUAUAUUUAUAUUUGUUAAGUAACUCAUAAUGCACGAAUUAUUAAGAAUACUAUAAUGAAAUUAUAUUAAAUAAAUUACAUUUUUAUUUUCAUAAAUUAUACUUUUUAUUUUAAAUAAAUUAAAUUUAUUCUUUUAUCAUCUAACUCUUAAUUUCUAGCUUCAGAAAAGUAUUUUCUUUAAUAAUGCUCGAUAGAAAAAAGAAGAAAAGAUCAAAAGAUUUUGUUUCUUUUCUCUUGUUUCUUUAUUCCCUCCCUGCUAAUCCAACUUUUCUUUCAGAAAAAAUUAUAACCGCGUGCAAUGCGGUUGAUAGAGUCAGUGUUAAUCUCGUAAUAGUAUUUAAAACAUUUUUUAGAGCACAACUGCUCUAAUUUAAUUUAAUUAUAUUAGUUAUUCGCGAAAUUAGAAUCAGUGUUUGUUCGUCGAUUGAAAUUUAAACGGACGCGUCGAUAGUCUUAUAUUUUUUUUUUUUUUUAAAUAUUCGUUUCGGAUAUAUAUUUAGAGUCAGUGUAUCAAGAGAAUAAGGCGAUCAUCCAUCAUUCGAAGAGGUGCUGAUGAUUUUGCGGUUUUCUCUUGGAUUUGAAUCUUAACAAAUAUAUGUAACCGCGCGCAAUGCGGUUGGUAGAGUCAGUGUUUCCUUCGCAAUAGUAUUUUAAAUAUUUUUUAGAGCACAGCUGCUCUAAUUGAAAUUAAUUAUAAUAAUAAUUAUUCGCGAAAUUAGAGCCAGUGUUUGUUCGCCGAUUGUAAUUUGAACGGACGCGUUAAUAAUUCUUUAUUUUAUUUUAUUUUUUUUUUUUUAAUAUUCGUUUCGGAUACACAUUAGAAUCAGUGAUUCAAGAUUAUAAGGCGAUCAUCCAUCACGCGAAGAGUUUCUUGAUGAGGACUUCCCAUGGGUCAACAUCGAUGGCUAUGCAGAUUCUUCGCAUCUAAUGGUGAGUCGCAUGCAUUUUGUUUCCUCUGGUUACUCAAUCAUGUCGUAGGAUAAAAGAUCCAAAUCGACACGGGUAACUGGUUGUAUACGUAGAAUUUUGCACGAGCACAGUGACCACGGAUAUUUAUUAUUCGUGAAUAGUAACAUUUUCUUUUUUUGUAUUUUAUUUAUUAGUUCAGGCUAGGUCUUCUUGUACAUCGUGUUUUUAAAUAUUAAUAAUUUUCUAAAAUAAUUCUAAAAUUAAAUUAUUGCAAUUAUAAACUAUAUUUCAUAUGAAUAUUUGCAAAUAUCAAAUAUCUAAAAAAAUAUUAAAAUAAUACGAUAAUAAUAAAUCAUAUCACUUGAUUUUGAAGAUAAUAAACAUAAUAAUUUUAUUUCUUUCGUUUGAAAAUAUAUCAAAUAUUAUGUGCAAGAAGACACUUCGCGACAGGCAGAUUUUGAAAUCAAAGCUAUAAGUUUUGAAUAUUUUGUAUUUUAAAAAAUGUGCUUUGAUAAAGGAAUCGCCUGAGGGUAUUUUUAUUGAUAUUUAACUUUCAAUUAUUAAAUUAUUAUUACAUUGUCUUUCAAUAAUUUUUUAAAUAAAUAUAUUCCUAUAUAUUUGAUUAAUAAUUUUAUAGAAUAUUUUAAUAAUUUAUUAUAUUGAUAAAAAGUAAAGUAAAAGUAAAGUAAAAGUAAAGUAGUUUCAUUAAAAUUUGAAAUAUGAUAUAUACAAAAUCAUUAGCCCGUUAAAUAUUUAUACUAAUUUAUCUUUUUAGCUCAGGAUUUUCAGAUUUAACCCUUUCCGUGUUCAUUGCCAGGAACUCACUCACGUGCCCAGGUGUUACUUGGGUGAGAGAGAGGCAAUGGGCAUGAUGACCCUAGUUCAUAAGUUCAUAAAUAUUUUUCAGCGACUGAUGAUGCGUUAGUAUAUCGUGCACGACGUAUUUUUCACAUGUGUAUGUGUGGUUAGGCUGUGGAAUUGCGUCGUUUUAUUCCAUUAAUAAUUAUUAAUUCAAUCACAAUUUGUAAUAUUAACAAUACGUUAUAUAUUACAGAUUAAAAAUAGUAAAAUAUAAUCUUAUUUGUUAUAUCAUUAUAAUAAUGAUACAUUAUCCUCCAAUGAUAUGAUUUUGUUUAGAGGACAUACAUUUUUUUUCAAUUGUACAGUAUAUUUAAUAUUAAAAUUUAUAAACAUAUAUAUAUGAAUAUACACACGAAAUUUUAUUGUCUCAUACGCAAUGGUUGCUAGCCAUCAUCGGUCGAUUUCAGGAGAAUGGUACGUAAAGUUAGAGUAUGCGUGUGGUGUGCCAAGCUCGGGUGUCGGAGGCGUCCCGGGACGCUUUCCCUAGUGUAGGCUUUUGCGCCCGAGUAUUAUGUGUGAGAAUAUCGUGGAAUGAGUGUGUUGGUAUGCCUGUUUUGCUCAUUUUUUAAAUAUAGGGCUAGGUAGGAUAGGUAGUAUACUUCUUGUGUGCCUGUUAAUUAUUAAGUAGGUAGGGCCGGGCAGAUUGUCACAGUCUCUGUUCGGGUAGGCGCGUUUUUUCGCGUGACAAUCUGUUUCAGGAAAUAAAAUUUGGGAAAUCGAGGAUGAGGCUGGGAUGAAUGGUGAACGGUAUCAUUCGUCCCUGGCCUCGUUCAUUCGAUUUUUCGAAUUUCGCGGACGCGAUCGCGAAAAAUAUCGAAACGAACGUUGCGCUCGAGAUUCUGCGCAUGUACGGAGAACGAUCGUUGCGAUUGUUGGUCGUCCAUGCGCACUUAGCUUCCGCGAUUUAGUCCUUUUUUUUCCCCUUUUUUUCUUUGCUCUACGAUUAGCGAAUCUCGAGCCUAGAUAUAAGUUUCAGCGGGCAUCGCGCCCGAAGGAGGAAGACCGAAGAGGCCUCGACAAACUGUCACGAAGAGGGGCUGCAACGAAUGGUUUCUCAUCUUUUGGAUCUGUUUUUUUCGGUCUAAAGGAUGGGAAGUCAUUGUUACUAUUUUGUCACUGUGCUCGUUUUAGUAAUACGUAGUAAUUGUUUGUGUUGUCUGGCCGAUUGCAUGCAGGCCCGUCAUCCAGAUCCAGCCAUCAUGGGCAUCGCGAUUUUUUAUUAGUGUUGCGAUUGAUCAAUAACGGGUUGCAUUAGAGUUGCGUUUACAGAUCUCGCGUUUUGAAUUAGUGUUGCGAUAAAAUGAGAAUCGCGUUCGUUGCAAAUAAUAUCGCGAUUUCUAAUUAUUUUGAUGAAUUAGUCUGCUUUUUUUUUUGUUUUUUUAUUUGAAUUUUUAUUUUUUACUGUUACGAUCAUAUGAUAUAUUAUCGAGAUAUUAAUUUUUAAAGAAUUUUGUAUCGCAUUUGUUUUAAGAAUUAGUGUUGCGAUGACGAAUGAUCGCGUUGUUUGAAGUAGUGUUGCGUUCAUGAAUAAACGCGUUUUGUAUAGUAGUGUUGCGAAUUUACGAAUUGCCCAUUAUUUCUUCCACUUGGACUGUGGAAGCAUGUUCCAGCUCUGGAUCACCUAUUGCGACCAAAAGAGUUGCAAAGGUGGUUUUACACGACGGCAGCCUCUGAUAUGCUGCAACUUUCCGUUAUUAGUGUUGCGUACAAAAAAAUACGAGUGCAUAAAAUAAUUGAUUUAGAGAAUUUCAUAAAUAUUUAAGAUAUUUCAUAUUUUCACGAAUCUUUUAUUUAUUAUUUUUUUCUUUUUUAUUCAAGAAUUGCAUUGUAAAUAUAAUAAAGCACUCUUCGCGUUUUUUUUUGGAGAUCUUAUUAGUAUAUUAGUGUUGCGAGAUAGAAAAGAUUCCACUCACGGUUUGUCCGGGUUUAUAUUGAGUGGAUAUUUUUUUUUGGUAACCCUUCUGGUUACCUCUUUUUUUUCUUUUCAGCAUCCCCUUAUUAAGAGCAUUUUCUAUUGAAAAUACUUUUAAAAAAUAUUAAAUAAUGCUAAAAAAAUAUAUUUCUUUAAAUACGUAAAUGUUUUUAAAAUUAUGAGUUACUUAACAAUAUUUUGGUAAUUUGACUUUAUUUUAAAAAUUAAUAUUUCCUUUUUACUAAUCCAGUAAUUGAGUUUGUUACAGGUACGGAUUGAAGAAAAUAAAAAAGAAGAAGUAAUUUUAAAAAUUAUUAUUUCUUUCUUACUAAUCCAAUAA